rnacentral:precursor_RNA from 12 species
AGCUAUGGAAUUUUUGUGUCGGGCAUCAACAGCGGCAAGGUCUGGAGUGAAGUUUUCAAAGUAAUCUUGACUCCAGACCUUGUUGCUGAUGACGUCUGUCAUAGACAUCUUGAAUUUUA